rnacentral:rRNA from 1 species
UUAAGUUAUUAAGGGCGCACGGUGGAUGCCUUGGCACUAGAAGCCGAUGAAGGACGUUACUAACGACGAUAUGCUUUGGGGAGCUGUAAGUAAGCUUUGAUCCAGAGAUUUCCGAAUGGGGAAACCCAGCAUGAGUUAUGUCAUGUUAUCGAUAUGUGAAUACAUAGCAUAUCAGAAGGCACACCCGGAGAACUGAAACAUCUUAGUACCCGGAGGAAGAGAAAGAAAAUUCGAUUCCCUUAGUAGCGGCGAGCGAAACGGGAAGAGCCCAAACCAACAAGCUUGCUUGUUGGGGUUGUAGGACACUCUAUACGGAGUUACAAAGGACGACAUUAGACGAAUCAUCUGGAAAGAUGAAUCAAAGAAGGUAAUAAUCCUGUAGUCGAAAAUGUUGUCUCUCUUGAGUGGAUCCUGAGUACGACGGAGCACGUGAAAUUCCGUCGGAAUCUGGGAGGACCAUCUCCUAAGGCUAAAUACUCUCUAGUGACCGAUAGUGAACCAGUACCGUGAGGGAAAGGUGAAAAGCACCCCGGAAGGGGAGUGAAAUAGAACCUGAAACCGUGUGCUUACAAGUAGUCAGAGCCCGUUAAUGGGUGAUGGCGUGCCUUUUGUAGAAUGAACCGGCGAGUUACGAUUUGAUGCAAGGUUAAGCAGUAAAUGUGGAGCCGUAGCGAAAGCGAGUCUGAAUAGGGCGUUUAGUAUUUGGUCGUAGACCCGAAACCAGGUGAUCUACCCUUGGUCAGGUUGAAGUUCAGGUAACACUGAAUGGAGGACCGAACCGACUUACGUUGAAAAGUGAGCGGAUGAACUGAGGGUAGCGGAGAAAUUCCAAUCGAACCUGGAGAUAGCUGGUUCUCUCCGAAAUAGCUUUAGGGCUAGCCUCAAGUGAUGAUUAUUGGAGGUAGAGCACUGUUUGGACGAGGGGCCCCUCUCGGGUUACCGAAUUCAGACAAACUCCGAAUGCCAAUUAAUUUAACUUGGGAGUCAGAACAUGGGUGAUAAGGUCCGUGUUCGAAAGGGAAACAGCCCAGACCACCAGCUAAGGUCCCAAAAUAUAUGUUAAGUGGAAAAGGAUGUGGCGUUGCCCAGACAACUAGGAUGUUGGCUUAGAAGCAGCCAUCAUUUAAAGAGUGCGUAAUAGCUCACUAGUCGAGUGACACUGCGCCGAAAAUGUACCGGGGCUAAACAUAUUACCGAAGCUGUGGAUUGUCCUUUGGACAAUGGUAGGAGAGCGUUCUAAGGGCGUUGAAGCAUGAUCGUAAGGACAUGUGGAGCGCUUAGAAGUGAGAAUGCCGGUGUGAGUAGCGAAAGACGGGUGAGAAUCCCGUCCACCGAUUGACUAAGGUUUCCAGAGGAAGGCUCGUCCGCUCUGGGUUAGUCGGGUCCUAAGCUGAGGCCGACAGGCGUAGGCGAUGGAUAACAGGUUGAUAUUCCUGUACCACCUAUAAUCGUUUUAAUCGAUGGGGGGACGCAGUAGGAUAGGCGAAGCGUGCGAUUGGAUUGCACGUCUAAGCAGUAAGGCUGAGUAUUAGGCAAAUCCGGUACUCGUUAAGGCUGAGCUGUGAUGGGGAGAAGACAUUGUGUCUUCGAGUCGUUGAUUUCACACUGCCGAGAAAAGCCUCUAGAUAGAAAAUAGGUGCCCGUACCGCAAACCGACACAGGUAGUCAAGAUGAGAAUUCUAAGGUGAGCGAGCGAACUCUCGUUAAGGAACUCGGCAAAAUGACCCCGUAACUUCGGGAGAAGGGGUGCUCUUUAGGGUUAACGCCCAGAAGAGCCGCAGUGAAUAGGCCCAAGCGACUGUUUAUCAAAAACACAGGUCUCUGCUAAACCGUAAGGUGAUGUAUAGGGGCUGACGCCUGCCCGGUGCUGGAAGGUUAAGAGGAGUGGUUAGCUUCUGCGAAGCUACGAAUCGAAGCCCCAGUAAACGGCGGCCGUAACUAUAACGGUCCUAAGGUAGCGAAAUUCCUUGUCGGGUAAGUUCCGACCCGCACGAAAGGCGUAACGAUUUGGGCACUGUCUCAACGAGAGACUCGGUGAAAUCAUAGUACCUGUGAAGAUGCAGGUUACCCGCGACAGGACGGAAAGACCCCGUGGAGCUUUACUGUAGCCUGAUAUUGAAAUUCGGCACAGCUUGUACAGGAUAGGUAGGAGCCUUUGAAACGUGAGCGCUAGCUUACGUGGAGGCGCUGGUGGGAUACUACCCUAGCUGUGUUGGCUUUCUAACCCGCACCACUUAUCGUGGUGGGAGACAGUGUCAGGCGGGCAGUUUGACUGGGGCGGUCGCCUCCUAAAAGGUAACGGAGGCGCUCAAAGGUUCCCUCAGAAUGGUUGGAAAUCAUUCAUAGAGUGUAAAG